rnacentral:rRNA from 1 species
AUUAGCUAGUUGGUGAGGUAAUGGCUCACCAAGGCGACGAUCCCUAGCUGGUCUGAGAGGAUGAUCAGCCACACUGGAACUGAGACACGGUCCAGACUCCUACGGGAGGCAGCAGUGGGGAAUAUUGCACAAUGGGCGCAAGCCUGAUGCAGCCAUGCCGCGUGUAUGAAGAAGGCCUUCGGGUUGUAAAGUACUUUCAGCAGUGAGGAAGGUGGUGUCGUUAAUAGCGGGCAUAUUUGACGUUAGCUGCAGAAGAAGCACCGGCUAACUCCGUGCCAGCAGCCGCGGUAAUACGGAGGGUGCGAGCGUUAAUCGGAAUUACUGGGCGUAAAGCGCAUGCAGGUGGUUUGUUAAGUCAGAUGUGAAAGCCCGGGGCUCAACCUCGGAAUUGCAUUUGAAACUGGCAGACUAGAGUACUGUAGAGGGGGGUAGAAUUUCAGGUGUAGCGGUGAAAUGCGUAGAGAUCUGAAGGAAUACCGGUGGCGAAGGCGGCCCCCUGGACAGAUACUGACACUCAGAUGCGAAAGCGUGGGGAGCAAACAGGAUUAGAUACCC